UCCGGUUUGUCUCCACGGUCCACACCGGACAUGUCAAGGGCUGGUAAGGUUCUUCGCGUUGCGUCGAAUUAAACCACAUGCUCCACCGCUUGUGCGGGCCCCCGUCAAUUCCUUUGAGUUUUAACCUUGCGGCCGUACUCCCCAGGCGGUGUGCUUACCGCGUUAGCUGCGACACCGAAGAGCUAGGCUCCCCAACGUCUAGCACACAUCGUUUACAGCGUGGACUAC
rnacentral:misc_RNA from 1 species